rnacentral:rRNA from 1 species
CACAGGAAGUUGACGGGGCCGCACAAGCAGCGGAGCGUGUGGUUUAAUUCGAUGAUACGCGAAGAACCUUACCUGGUCUUGACAUGCACGUGGUACUGAUUCGAAAGAUGAGGGACCCUUCGGGGAGCGUGCACAGGUGUUGCACGGCCGUCGUCAGCUCGUGCCGUGAGGUGUUGGGUUAAGUCUCGCAACGAGCGCAACCCCUGUCGCCAGUUGUAUUUUUCUGGCGAGACUGCCGAGAAAACCUCGGAGGAAGGAGGGGAUGAUGUCAGGUCAGCAUGGCCCUUACGCCUGGGGCUACACACACGCUACAAUGGGCAGUACAACGGGCAGCCAAGCCGCGAGGCGGAGCUAAUCCCAUCAAAGCUGUCCUCAGUUCGGAUUGCAGGCUGCAACUCGCCUGCAUGAAGUCGGAGUUGCUAGUAACCGCAGGUCAGCACUACUGCGGUGAAUACGUUCCCGGGCCUU